rnacentral:lncRNA from 1 species
GAGCAACGGCAGCCGGCCCCUCCAGACGAUGGCCAUUCCUGUUGCCUUGGUCCGCAGGAACGAUGGGUUAUGCAUGAACUUUGUAGAACAUGGCCUUGUCUUCACCAACGCGGAGGAGAGCCCGUUCGGUUCCAGAGAGGAUGCUGCCUCAUCUCGUCUCUAAAAGAGGAGGAAGGGGAGCAGGUCCCUUCACGUUCUCUGGUCUCAGCUGAGAACUCUCCCUGGAAGUAGCGGGCCGUGAAAUGUUUCACAAGUGACACCAGUGAUGCUGUUAAACAAGGACAAUCCGGUUCAUGGAUUGUGACAACGCACGCUGACAUCAAGCAGACCCUGCCGUCAGGUACAGAGGGCACCACAGUGACCAGGAACUGCUGUCCUUUCAUACCAGGUUUUAGGAGGCUUUACCAGAAGGAAUGGAAAAUGCUGGUGGGCAGUAAGAUUGAAACAGCAUCUGAGGACUGGUUCUGCACAAAACCUUAAAUUCUUCAAGGACUUUGACAUUUGUUUAUUCUUGUAACAAAUUAAAACCUAUCCUGUGUGUUGGUUAGAGAUCUUCAAACUGUAAAUACCUUGAGGCAGGAGUGAGGUUUUUAUCUUUUAAAGGACAGGCCCCUACUCUCCUACGUAAUGAGUUUCUAAAAAUGGAUGUGAGCACCAAUCAAUAUUUCUCUGGUUGUUAAAGUCAAGAAUAAAAUGGUAUUUUUAAGCUCGC